UGCAAGCCGAGCGGUAGGGUUUCUUCGGAAACCUGAGAGCGGCGCACGGGUGCGGAACACGUGUGCAACCUACCUUUAUCAGGGGGAUAGCCUUUCGAAAGGAAGAUUAAUACCCCAUAAUAUAUUAGAUGGCAUCAUUUGAUAUUGAAAACUCCGGUGGAUAGAGAUGGGCACGCGCAAGAUUAGAUAGUUGGUGAGGUAACGGCUCACCAAGUCAGUGAUCUUUAGGGGGCCUGAGAGGGUGAUCCCCCACACUGGUACUGAGACACGGACCAGACUCCUACGGGAGGCAGCAGUGAGGAAUAUUGGACAAUGGGUGAGAGCCUGAUCCAGCCAUCCCGCGUGAAGGAUGACGGCCCUAUGGGUUGUAAACUUCUUUU
rnacentral:rRNA from 1 species